GUGUAAGUUAAAGUAGGGCUGAGAGAUGAAUAAAGUAGAUUUUCUCCUCUAGAACACACUGCAGUUUAAUUUCACUUCUUUCUACAGUGUGCGAUGAAGGUGGACUUAACUUUUAAAGGCAAAGAGACAAACCACUGCCAGGAUAAAUGAGAAGACGCAGAGGGGGCAACUGGCACCACACAGGAGAGGAAAUGCUUUCUGGCUGGUUCCUAAUUUUCAUAUCCGGGUUAUCGUCAGAAAUCAUUUUCAGAGGCCAAAAGCUAUCGUCAAGUGAACACCGAGCAAGAAUUCAGAACAAUAACUUAUGUGGAGGUGAUCUAAAAAUGCGGCUCACUGGUUUGAUCAUUGACUUAUGAAGCUGAAAAAUGAUGGACAAGGAAAGUCGAGAAAGAGGAAGACAUUAACUGAGCGUCCUGUCCACACAGCUGCCAGGAAGGGUUUCA
rnacentral:lncRNA from 1 species